rnacentral:rRNA from 1 species
CCCUUAGAUGUUCUGGGCUGCACGCGCGCUACACUGAAGCUAUCAACACGUUUUCCCUCCCUGAGAAGGGCGGGUAACCUUUUGAAUCAGCUUCGUGGUAGGGAUCGGGACUUGCAAUUGUUCCCCGUGAACCAGGAAUUCCUAGUAGACGCGAGUCAUAAGCUCGCAUCGAUUAAGUCCCUGCCCUUUGUACACACCGCCCGUCGCUACUACCGAUUGAACGUUUUAGUGAGGCAUUUGGACCGACGCAUCUCAGUUUAACCGCUGGUUUGUGUUGGAAAGACUUCCAAACUUGAGCGUUUAGAGGAAGUAAAAGUCGUAACA